CGAACUUCGACAUGGACGAUUCGGGUCAAAGUGCAGUAUGCGUUCUUAUCAGCUUAAUAUCUGAUGCGGGUUCUAUUUUGACACAAUAUAAUAAACUUACGUUUGCAAGUUGGCGGAGUGCUUGAAGCCUGCCUCACCUCCUCCGCGGGUCGUCCCGGUAGUUCAUUAUCCCCGGGAUCGACCACGGUUUU